rnacentral:misc_RNA from 1 species
AAAAAAAAAAAAAAAAAAAGUGUGAAACCAUGGACUGGUGCAUCUUCACUGAUUAUAACACAGUAUGUUCCAAAAGAGAAAUAAGCAAGAAGAAAAAAAGGUGUGAAACCAGGGACUGGUGCAUCUGGACUGAUUAUAAUGUCUACCACUGUAAGUAUGUCUACAAGCCUACCAAUCCUACGAAAUUGUUUUCAUGGAGAGAGAAUCUAUUUAGACAUUAGGUUGUUUUGCUUGAAAUCCUAUGAUAAUAUUUAAAAAUGAUAAAACAUUAAAAAAGGUAGCAAUUAUAUCAUACCGUAGCCAGCAGUUUGAACAU